GCUUGGCGGCAUGCCUAACACAUGCAAGUCGAACGCUCGUAGCAAUACGAGAGUGGCCGNACGGGUGAGAAACGCGUGGGUACCUGCCCUGUAGUACGGAAUAACCGCGGGAAACUGCGGCUAAUACCGUAUACGCCCCAUGGGGGAAAGAUUUAUCGCUAUAGGAGGGGCCCGCGUCGGAUUAGCUAGUUGGUGAGGUAACGGCCCACCAAGGCGAUGAUCCGUAGCUGGUCUGAGAGGACGACCAGCCACACUGGGACUGAGACACGGCCCAGACUCCUACGGGAGGCAGCAGUGGGGAAUAUUGGACAAUGGGGGAAACCCUGAUCCAGCAAUGCCGCGUGAGUGAAGAAGGCCUUAGGGUUGUAAAGCUCUUUCAGCGGGGAAGAUGAUGACGGUACCCGCAGAAGAAGCCCCGGCUAACUCCGUGCCAGCAGCCGCGGUAAUACGGAGGGGGCUAGCGUUGUUCGGAAUUACUGGGCGUAAAGCGCACGUAGGCGGUGAUGCAUGUCAAAUGUGAAAGCCCUGGGCUUAACCUAGGAAUUGCAUUUGAAACUGCAUCGCUAGAGG
rnacentral:rRNA from 1 species